CAUUUAGAGGAAGUAAAAGUCGUAACAAGGUCUCCGUUGGUGAACCAGCGGAGGGAUCAUUACAGAGGUAUCUAACUCCCAAACCCAUGUGAACUUACCACUGUUGCCUCGGCAGAUGUUGCUGGGAAAACCUACCCUGUAGCGAGCUACUCUGUAGCGACCUACCCGGGAACGGCUUACCCUGUAGCGCCUGCCGGUGGACUACUAAACUCUUGUUAUUUUUAAGUAAUCUGAGCGUCUUAUUUUAAUAAGUCAAAACUUUCAACAACGGAUCUCUUGGUUCUGGCAUCGAUGAAGAACGCAGCGAAAUGCGAUAAGUAAUGUGAAUUGCAGAAUUCAGUGAAUCAUCGAAUCUUUGAACGCACAUUGCGCCCAUUAGUAUUCUAGUGGGCAUGCCUGUUCGAGCGUCAUUUCAACCCUUAAGCCUAGCUUAGCAUUGGGAACUGGCUUUACUGCCAUUCCUCAAAUUCAACGGCGGAUUUAUAGCAAUCUCUGAACGUAGUAAUUUUUUUCUCGUUUUUGAAAUACUGUAAACCUCAGCCGCUAAACCCCCCAAUUUUUAAUGGUUGACCUCGGAUCAGGUAGGAAUACCCGCUGAACUUAAGCAUAUCAAUAAGCGGAGGA
rnacentral:rRNA from 1 species